rnacentral:rRNA from 1 species
GGGAUGCGUUCCAUUAGGCAGUUGGUGAGGUAACGGCUCACCAAACCUUCGAUGGAUAGGGGUUCUGAGAGGAAGGUCCCCCACAUUGGAACUGAGACACGGUCCAAACUCCUACGGGAGGCAGCAGUGAGGAAUAUUGGUCAAUGGACGGGAGUCUGAACCAGCCAAGUAGCGUGAAGGAUGACUGCCCUAUGGGUUGUAAACUUCUUUUAUAUGGGAAUAAAGUGGUCCACGUGUGGAUUUUUGUAUGUACCAUAUGAAUAAGGAUCGGCUAACUCCGUGCCAGCAGCCGCGGUAAUACGGAGGAUCCGAGCGUUAUCCGGAUUUAUUGGGUUUAAAGGGAGCGUAGGUGGACAGUUAAGUCAGUUGUGAAAGUUUGCGGCUCAACCGUAAAAUUGCAGUUGAUACUGGCUGUCUUGAGUACAGUAGAGGUGGGCGGAAUUCGUGGUGUAGCGGUGAAAUGCUUAGAUAUCACGAAGAACUCCGAUUGCGAAGGCAGCUCACUGGACUGCAACUGACACUGAUGCUCGAAAGUGUGGGUAUCAAACAGGAUUAGAUACCCUGGUAGUCCACACAGUAAACGAUGAAUACUCGCUGUUUGCGAUAUACAGUAAGCGGCCAAGCGAAAGCAUUAAGUAUUCCACCUGGGGAGUACGCCGGCAACGGUGAAACUCAAAGGAAUUGACGGGGGCCCGCACAAGCGGAGGAACAUGUGGUUUAAUUCGAUGAUACGCGAGGAACCUUACCCGGGCUUAAAUUGCAAAUGAAUAAUCUGGAAACAGGUUAGCCGCAAGGCAUUUGUGAAGGUGCUGCAUGGUUGUCGUCAGCUCGUGCCGUGAGGUGUCGGCUUAAGUGCCAUAACGAGCGCAACCCUUAUCUUCAGUUACUAACAGGUCAUGCUGAGGACUCUGGAGAGACUGCCGUCGUAAGAUGUGAGGAAGGUGGGGAUGACGUCAAAUCAGCACGGCCCUUACGUCCGGGGCUACACACGUGUUACAAUGGGGGG